rnacentral:rRNA from 2 species
CUGCGAAUGGCUCAUUAUAUAAGUUAUCGUUUAUUUGAUAGUACCUUACUACUUGGAUAACCGUGGUAAUUCUAGAGCUAAUACAUGCUAAAAAUCCCGACUUCGGAAGGGAUGUAUUUAUUAGAUACAAAACCAAUGCCCCUCGGGGCUCUCUGGUGAUUCAUGAUAACUCGUCGAAUCGCACGGCCUUGCGCCGGCGAUGGUUCAUUCAAAUUUCUUCCCUAUCAACUUUCGAUGUUUGGGUAGUGGCCAAACAUGGUGGCAACGGGUAACGGAGGGUUAGGGCUCGACCCCGGAGAAGGAGCCUGAGAAACGGCUACUACAUCCAAGGAAGGCAGCAGGCGCGCAAAUUACCCAAUCCCGAUACGGGGAGGUAGUGACAAUAAAUACUGAUACAGGGCUCUUUUGGGUCUUGUAAUUGGAAUGAGUACAAUUUAAAUCCCUUAACGAGGAACAAUUGGAGGGCAAGUCUGGUGCCAGCAGCCGCGGUAAUUCCAGCUCCAAUAGCGUAUAUUAAAGUUGUUGUGGUUAAAAAGCUCGUAGUUGAAUCUUGGGCCUGGCUGGCCGGUCCGCCUCACCGCGUGUACUGGUCCGGCCGGGUCUUUCACUCUGCGGAACCACAUGCCCUUCAGUGGGUGUGGCGGGGAAGCAGGACUUUUACUUUGAAAAAAUUAGAGUGCUCUAAGCAGGCCAAUGCUCGAAUACAUUAGCAUGGAAUAAUAAAAUAGGACGCGCGGUUCUAUUUUGUUGGUUUCUAGGACCGCCGUAAUGAUGAAUAGGGACAGUCGGGGGCAUCAGUAUUCAGUUGUCAGAGGUGAAAUUCUUGGAUCUACUGAAGACUAACUACUGCGAAAGCAUUUGCCAAGGAUGUUUUCAUUAAUCAGNAACGAAAGUUAGGGGAUCGAAGACGAUCAGAUACCGUCGUAGUCUUAACCAUAAACUAUGCCGACUAGGGAUCGGACGAUGUUAUUUAGUUGACUCGUUCGGCACCUUACGAGAAAUCAAAGUGCUUGG